UAUAUAUAUAUAUAUAUAUAUAUAUAUAUAUAUAUAUAUAUAUAUAUAAAUUUGAUGUAGAUGAUCUUUUAAUCAAGAGAAUUCAAUUACUGUUAUUCCUCGGCACGAUCGACAAGUGAUUUAAUUAAAAAACCAUCUAUCGAUCUUUCCCUCGAAUCAAACUUUAACUAGAUAAACUUUAACUAGAUUAAUUCGAUAUUUAUUUAAAUGUAUCGAGUUAAACUCGAGAGUAUUUCUUUUCUUUUGAUUGUUUAACUGUGACUUAUAGGAGGAAGAAUUUACAUGAAGUAGAAACCAUUCCCAUGGAAAAAGAAAAGAAUAAAAAAAUAUAUGUGUAUAUAUUUUUUCCUAUUUAUCUCUCUCUCUUUCUCUCUCUCUCUCUCUCUCUCUCUCUUUAUAUAUAUAUAUAUAUAUGUAUAAAGAGUGUAAAGAGAAAGAGAGAGAGAGAGAGAGAGAGAGAGAGAGAGAGAGAGAGAGAGAGAGAGAGACAGGAUAUUUAGAAAUUCGAGCUAUUUACACGAAGUAACUCGUGUAUUCGUGAGGCAUGACACCUCUCCUUGGAUAAAACGUGUGACUGGUCGAGUAUUCUAAAAGAUUCGUAAUCGAACUCAUGUAAACAUCCGCGAACCUAAAAAGUCUUCUUGAGAAGUAGGUCGGAUUGUGAUACGUUCUGAAGACCGAGCCGAACUGUUUAUUGAAUACACACUUUAUUUCAUUUCUCAGUCGAUCACGUUCCUCUAUCCAUUCGUUAAGUUCGUCCUGAACUUCUGAACCUUCGUAAUCUUGAUGUUCUUCUAUCAAACCGGUCAACAUUUGAAGCCAGUUUGCGUUCUCUUUGAAUUUUGGAUGAUUUAGUGUUUCAAUUUCAUGCUGUAAAUUAAAACAAAUUAAUGAAUAUAUAUAUAUAUAUAUAUAUAUAUAUAUAUAUAUUUCUUUUCUGAAAAUCGUUAUGUGUCUUAUAUACAAUUUCGAAGAAAAAAUAAAGGUAAUAAAAAUAUAUAUUCAUCGCAUAAAGAUAUAAAAUUCAGAAACGCAUACUAAACGUUCAUUUCUUCGUUAUAAAGUAUAUAUCAUAUUUACAGUUAAUUCCUUAAUUAUUGCACCGGUUCUCCAACCAUGUUCCAAAGUUACGUCCGCCAGGUCGCUAUACGGGUGAUCACCAAAAUACAACACUUGAUGUCCUCGCCAUCCUGUCAUAUCUUGCAGCUGUUUAACUGUACCCUAUUAUAUUCGAAAAUUUUAUCAAUCAUUAUAUUCUUGUACGAAAUAAAAUUCUAUUUCAAUGUAUUACACAAUAUAUGAAAUUACAUACUUCUAGGUAUAUGACACCUUUUUGUAAUUUGGUUACACGAUCCCAGAGUUGAGUUUUAUUCACCUCAUCGUAAAUUCGUAAUGGCCGUGAUUCCUCCGUGAAGAAUCUUGGCUUUCUCGCUUGGACGAUCACCACCUCGAAAUAAUCCUUCCAAUUAUCGCCGACCAAAAAUUUCAUACCUAUGUCUCUGAAGAAAAAAAGAAAAAAAAAAAAAAAAAGAAGUAUUACUUAAUUUUUUACGAUGAGAACCAUAACGAAAUAUAAUAUUUAAUUUUAUAAUUAAUAUUUAUUAAAGAAUAUAAUAGUCAUUUACACGAAAUGAAAUGGACUGUUCGUCACCAGGAACAUAUUUUUCUUAGCACUUUUGAGCCUCUCAAAGAACCUCCUCAAAUCUUUGUUCUGUUCCAGAUAUUCGGCUACGUUUUCCGUUACCAUACCGUGCAUUAUGGGAUGACAAUUUUUCACGGAAUUCUGUAUGUAGGAUAAUGAUCCUUUAGUUUCACAAGGCACCAUUACGUUCGAAAUAAUUUCAUUCCCUCGUUUUACGAGUUUACUUUACCUUGACAUCUCGGAAAAGUAUUUCCGGAUGAUAAUCGAUAUGAUUCCUUAAAAAGUAUUCCGUGACGUUGCAUAAUAGACUCAUUUCCGGUACAGAAAAUAGAUCUGCCAGUUGGACCAUUUUUGUUCGAUGCAAACCAUCCUUUGGAUUAAAAAGAAAUUUUCUUUUUUAUUUAAAUGAAUAAAUUUCAGUUAAUAUUCGAUUACAAAUUUAUUUACCUUAUGCUAUCCCCAAUCCCAUAAGGAACCAUCGAAAAAGCAUACAAAUAUAAAAUUUGCCUUUAAUUAUACCAUUAUACCACCAAUGAAAUUAAUUUCAUUAAAAUGGUUUUUGUAAAAGCAAUGGUUAAUAAAUGAGAGAUAAUAUGAUCGAUGAGAUUUGAAAGUAUACAGAGAGGAAGAGGGGGAGAGAGGGAGAGAGAUACUUAUAUACCAGUGGAAUGAAAGUUACGAGAAAAUGUGAGGUAGUAUGAAUGAUUUUAUAGAAAAAAAAAAAAAAAAUAUAUAUAUAUAUACAUAUAUAUGUGUGUAUAUAUAUAUAAGAAGCGAUAAACUUUAAUGAGCUUUUAAUAAAUAACCUGUGAGUGUUUGUUUGGUGCUUCUACGUAAGCUAUUGGAAUAAUCCUGUUUUUGUAGAUCCUGAGAACAUCUUCGUUUGGCAGCGGGUGUAAACCUCGAUAAACAGUACCAAAUUGAAUUUGUAAGAAACUGUCGAGUUUCAACAAUAGACCCUUUUCGAUAUCAUAAUGAAGUCCACGAACAGCAAAAUCCUCUUUGUAUUCGAGUUCACUGAUACCUUCUGGAUACUUGACAAAUUAUAACAUUUUUGUUAACUCACUGUAUUAACUUGAAAUUUAAUUAUAUUUUUUUUACUUUUUUUUUUUUUUUUUUUUUUUUUUUAAUAUAAAUAUACCUUGUAUUUUUGUAUUAACAUGUCUCGUCCUAAGUUAUAAAGCAGGUAAUCCAUCGAGGGUUUGUAACAAGCAAGAGUAUAGUCAUAAUCGAAUCCAUAAACUUGAACUUCCUCUAGGUCGAGCUCGUUGCAAGCGAAAACACCUUUAUGAUUGACAUCUGGUGGAAGUUUCUUUGCUGUGUAAUUAAAGUUAUAUCGAGAUAAUAAUAGAUAAUAAUUUUUUCUUUUCUUUAUUUUUUUAUUUUUUUUUUUAAAGACGUACAUAAAAAGUUUGAAACAUUCUACCGUUUCAUAUUUUAUAGAAAUUCAGAAUUUUCAUGCAAGCAACAAGCAAGGGAUGUAUCGAAAAUAUCACGUUUUAAAAAAUUUUCACUCUAUUAAAUUUAUAUGUGCGUUUACAAUUUACAUACAUAAUAUGCAAGUUAUAUCAUAGCAAACAAAAAUCUCGUUUGUUUAAUAUCACAUAUAUGUCAUUAUAUAUCUCUAUCGUAAGAAUAAUAUUAUAUUCAGGUCAUUAUUCAUGUGUCUAGAGAAUAAUAAUAUAAUUUAUAAAUAUAAUAUCUAAAUUAUAUAUACGUAUGUGUAUGUAUAUGUAUGUAUGUUUAUAUAUAUAUAUAUAUAUAUACACAUACAUAGACUCAUUUGUUUAAUAUUAUUUAUAUAUCUACGUAUAAAACUUGCAUAUUAUAUCUCUCGUAGGAAUAAUAUUGUGUACAGGAAAACUUGAAAAUAAUUCUCUUUGCUCGACGUGGCACGUUGCUUACGGUGGGCCAGAAUCACGAUCCAGGCCACCGGGUCCAUAAUGUAAUUUGACAUUAUUACGGAACGCGCACUGACUAAAUAAAGAAAGCGCGUCCAUCUCGCCUUCGUAUUUCUCCUUUACCUGUUAUUUCAUUUUUUUCUUCUUUACGUUCACUCACGGCUCAAGUGUAAAAGAAGAAGAAGAUGAAGAAGAAGAAGAAGAGAAAGAAGGAAAAAAAAAUAAAAACAAAAAGAAAAGAAAAAGUAAAAGAGAUGAAAAGAAAAGAAAAGGAAAAAAAAAAGAAACGUUGCUCGAUAUCGAGCCGGAUCAUCAAGGUGUUUAUCUCGUAACAUAAACCAUACAAUUCUGCGAUGAAGGCCAUACGGAUGUUGAUGUAAAAAAUUUAAUCAUCUUUCUUCUAUGCAUUUCUAAAUUCUAUUAUGAUGCAUUUUCAUGAUGAUCGACGAGAAAUAUAACGAGAUUAAUUUUCUUAUUAUAUCAAAAUGUAGACUUAAUUGGUUAGUGAGAUUUUACGAAUCUGAUAUGAAUAUAAAGUUACUUUAGAUGAAACUCUGAGACCCAGAUAAUAUUAAUGUAAGUCUUUUUAAUUAAGUAAUUGCACCUGAACGAAUCUUGUCAACAAUAUACCCCAACAUGUAAUUCGUAUACGUAUAUAGGUAUAAUACAUAUCCCCGGCAUAUCCGUUAAAUUACGAGGGGUCUGCUACUUCGAUGGUGUAGUAUUAUAUACCACUAACGAGUAUAUACAAUCCCUUUGCAAACGAGAAUAUAAUUUAUGAGAAUCACCAACAAUUGUUUCUCUCUGCUAGAUUAAUAACCAGUUAUAUAUUAUAAUUUUCAUUUCGAAAUAAGAUCUUAAAGCUUUCCUUCAAAUACGUUUGAUAUUGUAAUUUUCUCUGUUCCAUUUAACCCUUUUAACUCGUAUGUCAACCUGAGGAUGACAAUACAAAUUUGUUAUAAAAUUGAUAUACAACCUCACUGAAUUAACAAUAAUAAUCAUUAAUUAUUGUGGCAUAUUUUUCAGUCGAUUAUUUUUAUUUAUCAAUUUAGCAUCGUUACAUCGAAACAGACAACAUAUAAUAAUUAUCUUUUCGUUUCUCUUUUAUAAGAUAAAUCCAGACGUGAUGACGUUGAAAGAAAAAAAAAAUCUAUUUCGAAAGGUUAAAAUGCAUCUGUAAAUAACUGUUUAUUGGAGUAAUACAAAUAUUCAAUGAUUUUGUAAAAUUUAAGAAACGAAACGAAGAGAUUAAAAAUAACAACAAAAAAGAAACAUAUCUUUCAAGUUUGCCGCGUAAAGUUUAAUACAAUCUAAUUGGCUACAUUAAUGAAGUUAAGAGAUCAUCCGCGCAUGCGCAAUAGAGCAUACGUACGAAAAGGAAAAGUGGCGCCUUAGUGAGCGCGCGAUUGGCGCCAUAGUCGCGUGGCAACUAAGCAAGGGGGAGGUUAGGUUAAGCAAGAUGGCGGGCGAAAUGAUUAUACGACGAUGUACUUACAUUUGCAUUUCUCCAACACUUUCAGGUGCGAUCCGUUCCUCUUCUAUAUUAAGAGAAGCCGUCACUCACGGAUCUAGAACGCAAUGAUCGUAAGAAAAAUGGACCUAGAUGUUUCGCCACCGAUCCUGACCGGUUUCUUCGACGUCAAAAGCAGUGCGCACGUACGAUUGAAUCUUCUUAAUCGUGAACGAAACUCGUACAUUGUAUUCCAUCUAUGUUUGCUACAUAUACAAGAUUUCAUAUGAUGAUAUCGCGUUAUCAUUUUGUAUAAUAAUAGAAACCAACAUGGAAGAAUCUUAUGUGCCACUUCAAAAUAAGAAUCUUAAAAUGGUACGGACAGAUGGAUGCGGUAACUAUGGAGAAUUGCUAAUUAACGUUUAUCUCACACCUCUCUCUUUCUCUUUGAAACUCAUACAUAACUAAUAGAAUGUGAAAAUUUGGAAGGAGUGUGAUUUUACGACGAGCACAUGUCGACAUCGUCGAUCGUAAGGCUCGUGAAUGUCAGGGAGACAGAAGAACGCAGAUUGCUAGAGGCACUGUUCCGCUGACCUACUCCACGAUUAUCACUCACUACAGUCGAUCGCAUCGUUGUACAGCGUCGUAUAGCAGUCUUAAUGCCCGUUUCACGGAGAAAGUAUGGCAGAUUGGUUUACGUCGAUUCAUCAACAAGCUUGAUAGAAUAAGAAACAUAUAUUCGUCUAAACAUCUAUGAUAUAGAUUUCAAUGAAACGGAGGAUCGAAGUGAGAGAAGAAGAUGUCUGUUUGGUGAAAAGCGUGGAAAUUCGUUAUAAAACAAGUCUGACUGGCGAGUAAGAAGAGCGAGUAUAACUCUAAUCGAGUUGGUGAGUCGGACAAGUAUCCUGUUUACGAAGCUGAAACGCCGAUCGAUUCCGGAUGCGUAUCGUGAAAGCAGCCUUCGAGAGGAGGCAGAACUCCGCACGCACUCUUAGUGGAUUUGCUGUGGCGCGGCGUGGUUCGCAUACCACAUGGUGAAAUGUCUAUUAUCGUCUAUUGUUCCGUAAAUAUGGCGACCUUCGAGUCUCUUGGUGAAAUCAUUCGAUCGAUCAAUCUUCGAACGCAAUAUACUUUACGUAUCCAAUGGAUUGAGUCUAAACACAAAUUGAAGUGACCAGAAGGAGGAUCGUCAAAUUACAUCGUUCGAUCUAUAUACAAGGUUAAAGAGAAAGAAGAAAGAGAAAUAAAAGAAGAUGUAAAAGAGAAAGAGAAAGAGAAAGAGAAAGAGAAGAAGGAGGAGGAGGAGAAGAAGAAGAAUAAGAAGAAGAAGAAGAAGAAAGGGCGUUCGAUCACACGGCACGUUCGACACAAGCAAUUGAGAAAGGGAGAAAGAAGAAAGCUUGCUAUUCAGUGACCCAAAAUUAUCGCACGUAUAUGCAUACUUCCUUGCAAUUAAACACCCACUUUGUUCGAUUGUCUGCGAAGGCCUCUUUUCAUGUUACUUUAUGAACAUACGCAUACAUGGAUAUACCUAUGUCUUAUAUAUUCUAGCUACGUAUCUUGAACGAUAGAUUGUAAUCGUGAUUAUUCGAGAAAGCUUUCUUAAUGAUCUUUAAAAUCAUGACAUAUUUAUGACAAAUAUAUAUUCGUUUAUAUUCGUUUUAUAAUAAAAUUUAAUCAUUGUUUAUUUUAUAAUAACGUUUGAAAGUUAUUAUAUCAUUAAUAACUUUGUUAAUUUUAAUUAAAUAAUCCCAUUAAUU